CCUGGGGGCGCCCCUGGGACUACUGGUCCCCGUGGGGCAUGGCCAGGCCUGCUCUGGGGUUAAAGCAGAGCUGUCCUUAGCCAGCAAGACCCAGUAACCACAGAGCAAACAAAAAUUGCUGCUUUGGAGACACCAGCAAGCACUUUGACGUUACGGGCUUCAGCUGCUGCAGAAACUUUAUUUGGAAGCAGCAAUUAAAACCAGGAAAAGAUGAGUGAGAAGCAGCAUAUCAAGAUACCCCAGAUUUUUGUUUGCCAUCCAUCUCCUUUUGUCCCUGAUUUUCUGAAAAAAAAUUUAAAAAAAUCUCCCUCUCCUUUGCCUGCCAGAGGUCCCAAAAUGUACUAAACACGAGACAGCCAUGUCCACACCCUUGCACAGGUCCGGCGGCAGAGACAAGGUGGGAGCCAGCCCCAAAGCUCAGGGUCUGCGCGGCAGGCUCCAAGGUGCUCCAGAAGACGCGCUGCUGUACCCCACACGGGCCUGCGGCAGGCUGAGCACACCGUGCUGGCACGCAGGCUCCAGCAGGCUGUGAGCUCCCCCAGAACUGCUGCAUGUGGGCUUGUGAGCGGUGUUUGCAGUCUGGGCAUGGCGGAAGGAUGGUAGUUGAGGUGUUGGCAGGUAUCAGCUUCCCGCCCUCAACCAG
rnacentral:lncRNA from 1 species